rnacentral:rRNA from 1 species
GACGAACGCUGGCGGCGUGCCUAACACAUGCAAGUUGAGCGACGAACCAGGGCUUGCCCUGGGGCAAAGCAGCGAACGGGUGAGUAACACGUGGGUAACCUACCCCGAUAACCGGGACAACCCGAGGAAACUCGGGCUAAUACCGGAUGUGCUCACUGGACUUCGGUUCAGUGCGUAAAGGAAGCUUCGGCCUCCGUAUCGGGAGGGGCCCGCGGCCCAUUAGUUUGUUGGUGAGGUAACGGCUCACCAAGACCGCGAUGGGUAGCUGGUCUGAGAGGACGAUCAGCCACACUGGGACUGAGACACGGCCCAGACUCCUACGGGAGGCAGCAGUGGGGAAUCUUGUGCAAUGCGCGAAAGCGUGACGCAGCAACGCCGCGUGGGGGAAGAAGGCCUUCGGGUUGUAAACCCCUUUCAGGAGGGACGAAGGUUCGGCGGUGAAUAGCCGUCCGGACUGACGGUACCUCCACAAGAAGCCCCGGCUAACUACGUG